AUAAAUAAAUAUAUAUAUAUAUAUAUAUGUAUAUGUAUAUGUGUAUGUGAAAGUACUUGUGAAAUUUUAGACCGGUAUAGCAAAUACUUACCACAGAGGACAUUCAGACAUUGAGUAGGUAAAAUAGUGGUUAUGGAUGAUUUCAAAUAUCGAAAAAAAUUGAAGCCCUCAUGAAACGUCAGAUCUUUCAGCAAACAUUAACAAAACAAAGUGAUAAUGCAGGAGUCUGUUAGUGAUAUUUUCUGAACUAGAUGUAGUUGCAUGUCACAAUAAUAUAAGACAAAGCAUAUGGAAUAGUGUUUGAUAUGAAACACUUCGUCACAAAAAUGAAGUUGUUUUUUUUUUUAAAUUGUCAUAACUGAUUGAGCAGGGAUGGCAAGUUGUAUCACAAAAGCACAAAAUAUUUCUGUAAAUACCCUGAUCCAAGUAGAACAGAGUUCUGGAGUUUCAAAAUCCAUCCAUCCAUCCAUUAUCUAUAGGCUGGAGCGUAUUCCAGUUGACUUAGAGCGAAGGCAGGGGACACCCUGGACAGGUUGCCAGUCUAUCUACAAUUUAGAAACAUCAGUUAACCUCAGCAUGACUUUAGACUGUGGGAGGAAACUGGAGUACCUGAUGAAAACACACUGCACAGGGAGAACAUGCAAACUCCUCACAGAAAGAUCCCAGGCCGGGACGCAAACCAGGGAGUUUCAAAAUGGUUCUUCAAAUAUCAAUGAGAUUUUUUUUUUUUUUUUUUUUAAAUACAAGCACAUGAGCAUGUAAUUUUCAGUCACUUUGAACAUCACAUUUAGCUCAGUGCAUUGAUCCUUAGUAUUAAACAUGCUGAAGAUGGGGUUUUAAAAAGAAACCUAUUUCAGAAAGUACUUGAUACAUCAGUCUAAAAUUUACAGAUACCAUUUAUGUUUCCAUAGUUUAUGAUAUUAAAAAACAUUUCAAGCAAAUCAGAUAGUCGAGGAGAAGGACUGUGAUGAUAUGAGAUAAAAAAUGACCCAUUACAUUUUGUAUACACUUCUGUCUGUGGAAGAAUCACACCGAUGAUUCCACCAAAGGGCCAUAAGAACACAAACUACACAUCUGUGCCACAACUUAUCACUUUAGGUCAGUUUAUUGUGCACUAGUGUUUCACAUUAAAACUAAUAUAUUGUAUCAGAUCAUUUUGGCGGCAAGGCCACCAACUGACAUGCAUAUAAUUUCAUACAACGUUGUUUUCUAAAUAAAUUAUUUUCCCA
ensembl:lncRNA